UAAGGAAUAUUGCUCAAUGGGAGAAAUCCUGAGGCAGCAACGCCGCGUGGAGGAUGAAGGGUCUAUGACUUGUAAACUCCUGUAAAGAAGGAAAAAAUUCCCAUUAGAUGGGAGAUGAUGGUACUUCUGGAGUAAGCCCCGGCUAACUACGUGCCAGCAGCCGCGGUAAUACGUAGGGGGCAAGCGUUGUCCGGAUUUACUGGGUGUAAAGGGUGCUCAGGCGGAUUUGUAAGUCAGAGGUGAAAUCUUACAGCUUAACUGUGAAACUGCCUUUGAUACUGCAAGCCUAGAGUAUGGAAGAGAGUGAUGGAAUAUCUGGUGUAGCAGUGAAAUGCGUAGAUAUCAGAUAGAACACCAAUGGCGAAGGCAGUCACUUGGUCCAUUACUGACGCUAAAGCACGAAAGCGUGGGUAGCAAACA
rnacentral:rRNA from 1 species